GACUGGAGUAAAUUAUUUGGGUUUCUACUCCUAUAACUUAAAUAAAUAGGUCUAGUUAUACAAUUAUCUAACUAUUUUAUUAGUUAUAUGAAUAGCAUAAUCUACUAUUAUUUUACAUAAAAUCUAACUCAAUUUACCUUUAUGUAUGUGUAGAUAUAUAUGUGUAUAUAAAAGUGCAUGUAUAUAUAUAAGAAUAAUUUUUUUAAAUAUUCGUG
rnacentral:misc_RNA from 1 species